rnacentral:rRNA from 1 species
UACGUAGGGUGCAAGCGUUGUCCGGAAUUAUUGGGCGUAAAGAGCUUGUAGGCGGUUUGUCGCGUCUGCUGUGAAAUUUCGGGGCUCAACCCCGAACUUGCAGUGGGUACGGGCAGACUAGAGUACAGAAGGGGCAACUGGAAUUCUCGGUGUAGCGGUGAAAUGCGUAGAUAUCGAGAGGAACACCUGCGGCGAAGGCGGGUUGCUGGGCUGAUACUGACGCUGAGGCGCGAAAGCCAGGGGAGCGAACGGG